CAUCCCAGCAUCCGUGCGGGACAUUGGUAUUGGAGGUAAAACGCGGUCACUUACCAAUGAUUUAUUGCAUUGUUGCUCCCAAACAACGAGGUAGUUUCUAGAGAGUGGUUAAUUUACUCACCAUCAGCAGGUAUGUUUUACUGCUUUGCCUGUAAACUGCUGUCCUCACAACAAAAUGUUUUUACAUCCGGGUUCUGUGACUGGAAACAUCCUGAGCGGAUUAUGGACCACGAGAAAAGUGCAAACCAUAGUCACAGCAUUCUGGCUUUAUUGCGCAGAUCAAAAAAUGUGGGCACAGUGGACGCUUCACUCAGGCGACAGCGUGAUGCAGAGGGGAAAUGGAAGGAGGUCUUAAGGUGUGUUGUGACUAUAAUCAAAUUUUUGAGCGAGAGAGGCCUAGUAUUAAGGGGGCGAUAACGAACUUUUGGACUCACCAAGUAAUGGCAAUUACCUUGGACUGCUGGAACUUAUUGCACAGUUCGAUCCAUUUUUAAGAGAACACAUAGAGAAGAAUGGUCAAAAGGGACGAGGGACAACAUCAUACCUGUCAUAUACUGUGUGUGAGUAGUUCAUUUGCUUAAUGUCGGUUUUGUUAUGCUCGGCUUAAUGGAUGAGAAAAUAAAAAAAACGAUUGCAGCCGAACUACAGCACGCCAAGUACUUUUCAGUCAUUGUAGAUUCAACCCCAGAUUUGUCGCACAUUGACCAGUUGACAUUUAUCUUUAGAUUUUUCAACGAGGAAAGGAAAGUGGUGGAGAGAUUCAUUGGUUUUGAGCCUAUUCACAGCCACAUUGGAGCAAGUCUUGCUGUAAUGUGUAAUUAAAAAGGUUCAGCGUCUGGGGUUAGACUUGUCAAAUUGCCGGGGACAAAGUUAUGACAACGGCAGUAACAGGGCCGGUAAAUAUAACGGCCUUCAAGUGCAUCUGAAAAAGUAAACCCCAUGAUUCAUUACGUGCCUUGUGCUGGACAUUCACUUAAUGUCGUCGGUGUAAACAGCAUUGACAAUAGCUGUAAAGAAGUGAGCGAUUUCUUUGACCUACUUAAGUUAUUGUAUGCGUUUUGUGCCAGAUGUUUUGCAGAUGAGUCCAUGGAGAAUGACAAGAUACUAAAUGAGAGACCACAAUUUAAGGUGGAAACGUAUAAUGUAUAAUCAUCGACAGGUUGCUGUCCUGUCUUGCUAAAUUGCAUUGACAGAAUCAGAAUCGGGUUUAUUGCCAGGUACAUUUUCACAUACGAGGAAUUUGCCUUGGUAUGAAUUGGUGCUUACAGUACACAUAACAUAAAUAGUAAUAUAAAAAAUAAGGAGAUCAGAAAAAAUUUACAAGUAUACAAAAAAUAUAACAAGAUACAAUAAUACUAUAAUACAAUGCUGACAAGUAUGUGCAAAAGUUGGCAACAUGAGCAUAAAGUACAGUUGAGCGUUGUUGGAAAGUGUGGGGUCAGGAGAGUGUAUGAGUGUGUGUGAGUUUGGGGAGGGGGGCAUGAGAGUCACUCACAGUGGGGACCCGGGCCUUGUUGAUGAAGCCCACUGCCAUCAGAAAGAAACUGUUCUUGUGGCGAGAGGUUUUGGUCCUGAUGGACCGCAGCCUCAGGGACUUAAAUGAACUCUUUGGUGUUUUGUUCGAUUCUUCUGACUGUGAUGGUGUGCGUGAAUGCGCUGCUGCGCUCUCCUCCACAUAUCCAGAUGACCUGGACAAAGAUUUUGGAGAUGAACUUUAGCAAAUUCUUCUAAACAACUGGCUACAAACUACUUUCCCAAGCGUGUUCGUUGCACUCAGGCUGUUCUUAACCCUGCCCGUUACCAACUGCGAGGGCGAGAGAUCCUUCUCUCAACUUAAAAGAGUAAAGAAUGAACUCAGGACAACGAUGAGACAGAAGCGGCUGUCUGCACUCUCCCUGCUGCCAAUUGAAUCUGAACUAGUCCAGGGACUGGACUUUGAGAAUUUAAUUAACGACUUUGCAUGCAGACAGUCAAGAAAAAAGAUGUUCUGCUGAAGACCAGUAGAUUCAGACAGGAUGUCCUCCCAAGUCAAACUGAAGCUGCUGCCGAGCGCCAGGUGCUUCUUUGACGAGCCCGUUCAGGUGAAGGUGGCCGGGCUGAGGUCGAGGCAGGUGGUCGCCGUGAGAGCCAGAUCGACUGACGAGAAGGGAGUGGUGUUCAGCUCCACGGCCAUCUAUUGUUUGACGGAGCUCUCGUCAGACUCCGGCUUUUGAACGCCCGGGAAUUAUUUGUUCCACUACUGUAUCUGCACGAAAAAAAUGUACAAGCAUCAGAAAAGAAGGUUGACGUUGUACUUGGGCUUCUGUGUUCCUCAGAAAAAUAAUUUUUGAUCUGCAUUGAAACAUUUGAUACAUUUGAUCACAUGAAAACAUUUCCACUACAAACCUGAAUGCUGCAAAGUGAUUAAAUAAAAUGUUAUCAUGAUUA